rnacentral:rRNA from 1 species
GAUGAACGCUGGCGGCGUGCCUAAUACAUGCAAGUCGAGCGAACAGACGAGGAGCUUGCUCCUCUGACGUUAGCGGCGGACGGGUGAGUAACACGUGGAUAACCUACCUAUAAGACUGGGAUAACUUCGGGAAACCGGAGCUAAUACCGGAUAAUAUAUUGAACCGCAUGGUUCAAUAGUGAAAGACGGUUUUGCUGUCACUUAUAGAUGGAUCCGCGCCGCAUUAGCUAGUUGGUAAGGUAACGGCUUACCAAGGCAACGAUGCGUAGCCGACCUGAGAGGGUGAUCGGCCACACUGGAACUGAGACACGGUCCAGACUCCUACGGGAGGCAGCAUUAGGGAAUCUUCCGCAAAGGGCGAAAGCCUGACGGAGCAACGUCGCGUGAGUGAUGAAGGUCUUCGGAUCGUAAAACUCUGUUAUUAGGGAAGAACAAAUGUGUAAGUAACUAUGCACGUCUUGACGGUACCUAAUCAGAAAGCCACGGCUAACUACGUG